GUGGGGAAUCUUGCGCAAUGGGCGAAAGCCUGACGCAGCCAUGCCGCGUGAAUGAUGAAGGUCUUAGGAUUGUAAAAUUCUUUCACCGGGGACGAUAAUGACGGUACCCGGAGAAGAAGCUCCGGCUAACUUCGUGCCAGCAGCCGCGGUAAUACGAAGGGGGCUAGCGUUGCUCGGAAUUACUGGGCGUAAAGGGCGCGUAGGCGGACAGCUUAGUCAGAGGUGAAAGCCAAGGGCUCAACCUGGGAAUUGCCUUUGAUACUGGCUGUCUUGAGUUUGGGAGAGGUGAGUGGAACUCCGAGUGUAGAGGUGAAAUUCGUAGAUAUUCGGAAGAACACCAGUGGCGAAGGCGACUCACUGGCCCAAUACUGACGCUGAGGCGCGAAAGCGUGGGGAGCAAACAGGAUUAGAAACCCCAGUAGUCC
rnacentral:rRNA from 1 species